ensembl:snoRNA
AGCCUCAGUCUGUGAAAGUGGGCACAGCUGAUCACGGUGUCCAGACAAGCAGUUGUGGCUGAAAGGAUGACAGGUUUUGCUUCCACCACUGUGGGUUAAUUUCAGUGGUGACAAUGAGACCUGUAACACUU